UAGCUGAAAUGAUGAAUAUCAUGUCUCUUCUCUGACUUGUUGGUGAAGAAAGUCUUGUGAUUUCUGAUCUUUAUGCUA